rnacentral:rRNA from 1 species
ACGCUGGCGGCGUGCCUAAUACAUGCAAGUAGAACGCUGAAGCUUGGUGCUUGCACCGAGCGGAUGAGUUGCGAACGGGUGAGUAACGCGUAGGUAACCUGCCUCUUAGCGGGGGAUAACUAUUGGAAACGAUAGCUAAUACCGCAUAAAAGUUGAUAUCGCAUGAUAUUGAUUUGAAAGGUGCAAUUGCAUCACUAAGAGAUGGACCUGCGUUGUAUUAGCUAGUUGGUGAGGUAACGGCUCACCAAGGCGACGAUACAUAGCCGACCUGAGAGGGUGAUCGGCCACACUGGGACUGAGACACGGCCCAGACUCCUACGGGAGGCAGCAGUAGGGAAUCUUCGGCAAUGGGGGCAACCCUGACCGAGCAACGCCGCGUGAGUGAAGAAGGUUUUCGGAUCGUAAAGCUCUGUUGUAAGAGAAGAACGAGUGUGAGAGUGGAAAGUUCACACUGUGACGGUAACUUACCAGAAAGGGACGGCUAACUACGUGCCAGCAGCCGCGGUAAUACGUAGGUCCCGAGCGUUAUCCGGAUUUAUUGGGCGUAAAGCGAGCGCAGGCGGUUAGAUAAGUCUGAAGUUAAAGGCUGUGGCUUAACCAUAGUACGCUUUGGAAACUGUUUAACUUGAGUGCAGAAGGGGAGAGUGGAAUUCCAUGUGUAGCGGUGAAAUGCGUAGAUAUAUGGAGGAACACCGGUGGCGAAAGCGGCUCUCUGGUCUGUAACUGACGCUGAGGCUCGAAAGCGUGGGGAGCAAACAGGAUUAGAUACCCUGGUAGUCCACGCCGUAAACGAUGAGUGCUAGGUGUUGGGUCCUUUCCGGGACUCAGUGCCGCAGCUAACGCAUUAAGCACUCCGCCUGGGGAGUACGACCGCAAGGUUGAAACUCAAAGGAAUUGACGGGGGCCCGCA